CCUUCCAACCAGGAAACAAGUGGGUGAUACAAAAAUGUGUAUCUCAAUACCUAAAAUCAAUACUGUUAAAUGUAGUCACUUAGAAUCCAUAUGCCUGUCAUGUAUUUUAACAUAAAAGCCUGCCUCUGAGCUGCAGCCAGGACACGCCUAAUCACAAACAGCUGGAAAUACGGUGCCAUCAUAAGAGGGCAGAGCAACACUACUUUUCAUCCACCUUCCCAUAAACUGCAUGCAGGACAAAGAGUGAAGUCAAACUACUGCCAAAACUUUCCUCAUACAUCAUCUAAGUACCCUGGAAAGCAAAGGUUGGGCUUCAGACCGAGCAAUUUUUUUUAUGCAAGUAACUGCUUGUUGCGUUCAUACAAGUAAUCAGACCACAGCAGCACUGCUCGUUUCUCAGCCACUUCAAAUCUGUGGGAACUGGGCUGCAGCCAAGAGCCAUGGGCAGUGCUGUACAGUCUCAGAGCAAAAGGUUUCUGAUAUAUGUAUAACAGAAGAGGCAACACAUGGAGGCAGACAUCAUCAACAUGAAACCAUAAAGAAACACUGAGAUCACCUUGUGAACCAGAAAUGCUGGCACGUUACAGCUUAAUGGUGACCAGUGACUUUGGACACAACACAACAGAAGAGGUGAUAAUAGUAUAAGUAAUAACACAAGCUAAUAAAUCGUUUCAAAAGUAAUGCCUCCUGUUCAUUUCCAUGGAAACUACAAUGGAUACAAAGAACACAAUAGCACUAUUUCAGAGAGGAGGGCAACAAAAUGUAAUGGAAUAUUAUUGAGAAGGUUCAUUGUUUACUGCCAUACCACCAACAUCUGCUUUUGAAGUUGUGGGCCAACAUAAUAAAAUAAGAGGCAUUACUUUCAGAGCAGCCCUUGUAUCUGGUGUUUCUUGUUUGAAAGACGGUACUAAAACCUACCAUUUGGACACAAAUGAACAAAAUAUUAAAUCAAAUGUAGGAUUAAAAGUCCUUUUGUUUUGGUUUGGUGGUUUGUUUUUUGUUUGUUUUGCAGAAGAGUAAGAAAGAUCUCGUCAGAUUGAGGAAGUGAAGAUGCUUUUGUACAGCACUUCUGGCAGUAUCCCAUAAAUGAACAAAAAAGAGAAGGCAAACAAGCUAGUAGACAAGAAAGAAACGUAACAGGAAGGGAGGUACCCCAGCAAGUCUCCUGAUAACAAGCACGCUGAAGCCUUGGUUUGACAUCUCAUUCAAAACAUUUGAGCAUGAAGAUCUAUUGUUUCCCUGCCAAAGCUUCAGCUUCCUUGACACCAGAGCUGCUGUCAUUGAGCAUAGGAUGACACAGAUUGCCUGCAGAGAAUCAUGAGGGCAGAGCAGCUUCUUCCUAUUUUGAGAACAGAGAUCUCCUGCUGCCCUUUGCAUGGGGCAAACAGCAACCCUAUAGUCUUCCUAUGUUGCCUGACCUGACAAGAAGCACAACUCACCAUUUUGACAGUUAGACUGGUCCUCAGACUUGGGUACCCAAGACAGGUGCAUAGACACAAAUCUGAUCCCAUGCUGCUCCACACACUCCCAUGAGCAGAGAUCUUGUAGACAGGUAUUAAGGUUCAGCCAAAAUGAUAUAAUUUCUGUAUGAUGAGAGUUUCAUAUUACCGUGACCAAAUACCUUCUGUUUUGUUUUUUUUUUCACCCUCUGAAUUCAUGAAUAUUGCUCUU
rnacentral:lncRNA from 7 species